GACGAACGCUGGCGGCGUGCUUAACACAUGCAAGUCGAACGGAAAGGCCCUGCUUUUGUGGGGUGCUCGAGUGGCGAACGGGUGAGUAACACGUGAGUAACCUGCCCUUGACUUUGGGAUAACUUCAGGAAACUGGGGCUAAUACCGGAUAGGAGCUCCUGCUGCAUGGUGGGGGUUGGAAAGUUUCGGCGGUUGGGGAUGGACUCGCGGCUUAUCAGCUUGUUGGUGGGGUAGUGGCUUACCGAGGCUUUGACGGGUAGCCGGCCUGGGAGGGUGGCCGGCCACAUUGGGACUGAGAUACGGCCCAGACGCCUACGGGAGGCAGCGGUGGAGAAUAUUGCACAAUGGGCGGAAGCCUGAUGCAGCAACGCCGCGUGCGGGAUGACGGCCUUCGGGUUGUAAACCGCUUUCGCCUGUGACGAAGCGUGAGUGACGGUAAUGGGUAAAGAAGCACCGGCUAACUACGUG
rnacentral:rRNA from 1 species